UACGGGGGGGGCUAGCGUUGUUCGGAAUUACUGGGCGUAAAGGGCGCGUAGGCGGUCUGCUAAGUUGGAUGUGAAAACUCUGGGCUUAACCCAGAGCCUGCAUUCAAAACUGACAGGCUGGAGUUCUGGAGGGGAUAGCGGAAUUCCUGGUGUAGCGGUGAAAUGCGUAGAUAUCAGGAGGAACACCGGUGGCGAAGGCGGCUAUCUGGACAGAAACUGACGCUGAGGCGCGAAAGCUAGGGGAGCAAACAGG
rnacentral:rRNA from 1 species